AUUUAAAUAGUUUAAUAAAAAUACUGAUUUGUGGUGUCAGAGAUAUAAUUUAUAUUAUUUUAGAUC
rnacentral:tRNA from 1 species